AGUUCGUCCUUGCCUGCCCCUCCGGCGAUCGUGCGAAGGUCGAGGAUU
rnacentral:sRNA from 1 species